AUGGGGGCACAGGGCAAAGGGGAGGGUGUAAGGAGGAAGGGGUGGGGUGAGGCCCCCCACACCUCUGGCCUCCCUGGCACAGGACUCGUGUCCCAGCAGGCCCAGGAGCCCCCAGAGCAACGCCUCCUCCGCAGGCCGCUCUGGGCACCUGGAUGGGGGCGUAGCCACGGUGGGAGGCCGAGCGGGCGGCUCCUGCUCCCGGAACCGUGCUCGGCCUGGCCCUGCCCACCCGCUCCCAGCCCGCCGGGCACUCGAGUGGGCGGGACCGAGGAGGCCCGCGGCCUGGGAGGAUGGGGCCCGCGGCCGGCCGGCGCGUGUGGCCGGCCGGAGCCCUGGGGCGCUCACGGAGGGAACUUUGUGGAGGCCUGCAGGCGGGGGACUGCGGGCCAGGGCUGCGCCCCGGAGGGCCCGGGCUGCCUGUGCGGCAGGGCUGUGUCCGUGCGUCCGGCUGGGUCUCGGUCCCCUCGCCUGGACGUGUGCCUCUGCCUCCCGGGCUGUGCCGCUGUCUGUCUCUCCGGGCAGCGUCUGCCUCUCUGUGCGGCCCCCUCUCCGGUGCGUCUCGCUUCUCUCCAGUCUCCCUCUCUGUGUCUCUGCACCCGUCCGUCCCUGUGUGCACGGGUCCCCGGGUGCAUGGGUCCCUGGGCGUCCCUCUGUCCCCGUGGACGUGCCGCCUCCUCUCCGUGGGUCUGUCUCUAUAGUUCUGUCUCUGUCUUUGUGUCUCUCUUUCUGCCCGCUGUCCCUGACUCUGAGGGUCUGUCUCCUUGCCUCCGCCCCCGGCUCUCCGGUCCUCGCCGCGCGCCCGUGGGGGAGGCCCCUUACCUGAGUGGAGCCCGGGGCGCGCCCGCGGAGGGUCCGGGGCCGCGGGAUGCUGGGCGCCGACUGAGGCUCGGAGCCGGCGGGCGGGGGGCGGCGGGCGGCGGGCAGGGACGGCGUCCCCUCCCCCGGCCCUCCCCCUCGGCCGCGCAGCCUCCGCCGGCCGCUCCCGCCGCGGCGCGACCGGGGCGGCCUCUGCCGCGGGCGGUCUGCGGCGAGCGGGCACCUCCUCCCCCUGGGGCGGCGCCUCCUCCGCGGCCGCGGCCG
rnacentral:lncRNA from 1 species